rnacentral:rRNA from 1 species
AGUUGGUGGGGUAACGGCUCACCAAGUCAACGAUCAGUAGCCGACCUGAGAGGGUGAUCGGCCACAUUGGAACUGAGACACGGUCCAAACUCCUACGGGAGGCAGCAGUGGGGAAUCUUGGGCAAUGGAGGGAACUCUGACCCAGCGACGCCGCGUGAAGGAAGACGGUCUUCGGAUUGUAAACUUCUGUUCUUAGUGACAAGGGGAAGAUGGUAGCUAAGGAGGAAGCCCCGGCUAACUACGUGCCAGCAGCCGCGGUAAUACGUAGGGGGCGAGCGUUGUCCGGAAUGAUUGGGCGUAAAGGGCGUGUAGGCGGCUAUUUGUGUCCGAUGUGAAAGUCCAACUUUCAAGGUUGGAAUUGCAUUAGAAACUGGGUAGCUUGAGUGCAGGAGAGGUUAUCGGAAUUCCCGGUGUAGCGGUGAAAUGCGUAGAGAUCGGGAGGAACAUCAGUGGCGAAGGCGGGUAACUGGACUGUAACUGACGCUGAGACGCGAAAGUGUGGGGAGCAAACAGGAUUAGAUACCCUGGUAGUCCACACCCUAAACGAUGAAUGCUAGGUGUAGGAGGUAUCGACCCCUUCUGCGCCGUCGUAAA